AAUAUUUUCAUCCGAAUCUUGAUUUGUGAGAAGCAUGGAUAUUAUUAGCACCACAUGUGUGAAAAUGAGUCAGAAUGUUGAGAUUAAAUAAUCUGAAUGGACUUCCAUUGAUUGUCUUAAAGGAUAGUGCAAACUACCUGUUAGAGCAAGCUGCAAGAGAUUAGAGGAUAAAUUAACACAAACCUGUAUAAGGGAGGCAGCACAAGAAUCUCUUGAAAUGUAGAAUACGAAAAGUGCAAAUUAAGAAGAAAAAACAUAUUUACCAAAAAUUCCAUCAGAAGAAGGAUGCACAAACAAGAGAAGAAUAUAAGCAAGCAAACCGAAAGUGGCUUCAAAACCGGACGAUCACAAUAUGGAGCAACUGAUGUCGAAUUUGGUCUCAAUUAUCUGAACUCUGAAGAGUUUUGAUUCAUAUUAUAUUGCAAAAUAAAUCAAAAAACAAUAUUUUCUCUUUUCGAAAUCCAACGUCGCCAUCCAUUUCUCAAUGUUGCUAACGUGUUUUUACAGGCUGCAAAUUGUGAUGAAAUAAAUAAUCAAAACAAA
rnacentral:lncRNA from 1 species